GGAAUUUUGGACAAUGGGGGCAACCCUGAUCCAGCAAUGCCGCGUGAGUGAAGAAGGCCUUCGGGUUGUAAAGCUCUUUUGUCAGGGAAGAAACAGCAGCUCUAACACAGUCUGCGAAUGACGGUACCUGAAGAAUAAGCACCGGCUAACUACGUGCCAGCAGCCGCGGUAAUACGUAGGGUGCGAGCGUUAAUCGGAAUUACUGGGCGUAAAGCGUGCGCAGGCGGUUAUACAAGACAGGCGUGAAAUCCCCGGGCUUAACCUGGGAAUGGCGUCUGUGACUGUAUAGCUAGAGUGUGUCAGAGGGGGGUGGAAUUCCACGUGUAGCAGUGAAAUGCGUAGAUAUGUGGAGGAACACCAAUGGCGAAGGCAGCCCCCUGGGAUAACACUGACGCUCAUGCACGAAAGCGUGGGGAGCAAACAGGAUUAGAUACCCUGGUAGUCCACGCCCUAAACGAUGCUGACUAGUUGUUGGGAAUUUACAUUCUCAGUAACGUAGCUAACGCGUGAAGUCAGCCGCCUGGGGAGUACGGUCGCAAGAUUAAAACUCAAAUGAAUUGACGGA
rnacentral:rRNA from 1 species